UCAUAAUCAAAGACACAGGCAAAAGAAACAGUAUUUACAAAAUCAAAGUAGCUAGACAUGUAGAAGGAAGGGGGAAAAGAAGAAUGCAAUGAAAAUAUGCAACUAAAGCUACCUAAAUGCAACGAACAAUGACGAACACACAAAAUAGAACAUCACACUCACAACACAAGACAAGACAACACACACUAACACAACAAAAGACCUAAAACCGAACCGUUGGUCCCCGGCAACGGCGCCAAAAUUUGAUGGGCUGUCGCAACCCACACAAAUUUGAUGUGCAUAAAGAAUGCAGUAUAGU
rnacentral:lncRNA from 1 species